UUACGGUCAUAUCAAGUUGAACACUGGUUCUCAUACAGUCACAAAAGUUAAACUACGUCGAGCCUGGUCAGUACUUAGAUGGGUGAUCGCCUGGGAAUACCAGGUGCUGUAA